rnacentral:rRNA from 1 species
UACGUAGGGGGCAAGCGUUGUCCGGAUUUAUUGGGCGUAAAGAGCGUGUAGGCGGCUAGGUAGGUCCGUUGUGAAAACUCGAGGCUCAACCUCGAGACGCCGGUGGAAACCAUCUAGCUAGAGUCCGGAAGAGGAGAGUGGAAUUCCUGGUGUAGCGGUGAAAUGACGCAGAUAUCAGGAAGAACACCCGUGGCGAAGGCGGCUCUCUGGUACGUGACUGACGCUGAGACGCGAAAGCGUGGGGAGCGAACAGG